rnacentral:lncRNA from 1 species
GAGUUGCAUCAGCGAAAGUGGACUCAAAGGUUGAUUAAUACCUGGUGUUUGUAGGAAUACUGCUUAAAUAGGUAGUUCAUAUGAUGCAUUUCACUAAAGACUGUUUAAUUUUAAACUUUCUACUGAACAAAUUCAUGCUUCUUUUUACCAUUUUCCUUUUCCCCUUCUGGUUCUUUAUCUUUGGUUUACUUUGUUUGAAGUACUCUCGGGGGCUCAAAAACCAUAUGCCUUUUCAUCCUUCUGCUUAUAAUUUAAUGCUCAUUUCUGAUGGUAGGGAAAUACACAGAGAGGAAUUCAAGAAAGUAAUGGCUUUAAUGCGAGCUCACAACAGGCAAGGGGCUUUACAUAGGGAUGGACUUCGAGCAGGGCAUAAUCUUGGGGGUUCAGUAGAAAACGGAGGCCUAGUGGCAUACUUCUUUGGUGAAGAUGGGAAGAGGUGCCUUCACCAUGAUAAAUUCGUACAAUUUCUGAGAGAUCUUCAUGAUGAAGUAUAAUUUUCUCUUCCACUUUAUCCAGCGUCAUUUAGAGAAGAGAAUGGAUAAAAUUAUUUUGGGGUUCUCUAUUUUGUCUUAGACACCAACUUCAAUUUGUCCCUAUCAUUAUUAUUAUUAUUUUAAAUUACAUAGCCAUAUACCUAUGUUUCUUGUCCCAGUUCCAUGCUCUGAUUCCACAUUCCUGGUUCCAACAAGAUUUGUAAAUGAUAUCUUGUGAUUAGUUUGCUGGAAUAAUUGUUUUACUGCUCAGGAAUUUUACUGUAAGAAGUAACUUUGGAUUUGGAUGGAUUUUUGGUUGAAGGUGUCAUCAUUUCUUGAUUAAUUUGGAAUGUGCUGUACUAGGUUUUCUCAGUCGAGGUUCAUCUGAUGUCUUUAUGUUUCUUUACUAAUAUAUUGGCCUUCACUGGGGUAUCCAAUUGAUUGAGAAAGAAUGAGUACUAGAAAGUUCACUUUUUGUAAUCUCUCUUUUUCUCUCUUAGUUCUAUAGAAAGUUUUGUGAUUUCAACUGCUGCAAAGUAAUUUCGUGCUUGGCCUUGAUGCUCAGUUAUUUUGCUUAAUGAAAAUGGUUUUUUCAGAUGCUGAAGUUGGAGUUUUCCCACUAUGAUUACAAGUGCCGAGGGACCAUAUCCGCCAAAGACUUUGCGUUGUCAAUGGUAGCUGCUGCUGAUCUGAAGCAUUUAGGCAAGUUGCAUGAUCGUGUUGAUGACUUGGACAAAAUGCCACAUAUCAGCAAUGUCCGUAUUACACUUGAGGAAUUCAAGAGUUUUGCAGAGCUUCGUAAAAAGUUGCAGCCAUUCUCGCUUGCAAUUUUCAGUUUUGGAGAAGUGAAUGGUCUCUUGACAAAAGGGGAUUUCAAACGAGCUGCUUCUCAAGUAGGAUCUCCAUAUCUUCUAAUCAUUUUCCAAUUGUGAAUUAGUAUAUAUUCUCCUGAACUCAGAAAUGGUGUUCUCUUCAUUUUCCAAAAUAAUCAAUUUUUCUUGUUUUUAUGAGCCCUGGAGAUAUGGUUCCUGUCAGGUUACAUUUCUCCAUAUCCAUGUUACAAUUCCGCUUUUGCAUGCACAUAUUCUUGUAAAUAAUCUGCCCUAGCUUGCUCAUUGAAUCUUCGGGUUUAAAAAGAUAACCUUUUAGCGGUAGUUGUGUUGAGAUGUUGCUAUUGUCGUGUUUUGUUCUGAUGAAAUCAAUCAUCUGUUGCAGGUAUGUGACGUCUCUCUCACUGACAAUGUGAUCGAAAUAAUUUUCCAUGUUUUUGAUGCAAAUCGAGACGGAAGUUUAAGCUCUGACGAGUUCAUAAGAGUAUUGCAGAAGCGGGAGAAAGACAUUGCUCAACCAACAGAAGCAGGGAUCUUCAACUUUUUAUCUUGUUGUUGGAACUGCAGAAGCAAAUACUCCAUAUCUCGUCUGCUUUCAUAAUCAACUUCCACUUGAUAUUCUGACGUUCAGUGCUGUGCAUACUGACUGGUUCAGACGACGUGAUAAGGCGACAAUGAUUAGCAUUUUGCUGAAUGAAUAUUUUGUAAAUCACGGGAUUAACCAUGCAUGGCACCCGUACCGUUUCUAACAUGAUGCUGUGUGUCAUGGCCAGGACUGGGAGUUUUAACUGAAGCAUGGAUGUGAGAUGGUUUAUGGGCUUAUUAUAGUCCAUGAUUUGGAGUUUUCUUCGUCUUCGCCUUGAAGUUACAUGCUGUAUGAAGUUAUAUGCUGUAUAUAGUGGGAACUCAAAUGAUUUAUUGAGCUAGAUUCGUUUCUUUUAGAUGCAGUAAAUGUAUUCCCUUUCAUAACUCACAGUUUUUUGUAUGAGUGUUUCGAUAAAUGGACUCUGCG